rnacentral:rRNA from 1 species
AUUGAACGCUGGCGGCAUGCUUUACACAUGCAAGUCGAACGGCAGCGCGGGGGCAACCCUGGCGGCGAGUGGCGAACGGGUGAGUAAAUGGUAAUCGGAAACGUAUCCUGUAAUGGGGGAUAACCAGUCGAAAGAUUGGGUAAUACCGCAUACGCACGAGAGUGGAAAGUAGGGGAUCGCAAGACCUUACGUUAUAGGAGCGGCCGAUAUCUGAUUAGCUAGUUGGUGGGGUAAAGGCCUACCAAGGCGACGAUCAGUAGCUGGUCUGAGAGGACGACCAGCCACACUGGGACUGAGACACGGCCCAGACUCCUACGGGAGGCAGCAGUGGGGAAUUUUGGACAAUGGGCGAAAGCCUGAUCCAGCCAUGCCGCGUGCAGGAAGAAGGCCUUCGGGUUGUAAACUGCUUUAGUCUAGGAAAAAGGGGUGCGAGGUUAAUACCCUCGUGCUUUGAUGGUACUGGAAGAAUAAGCACCGGCUAACUACGUG